UGGGAGGCAAGGAACAAGUUCAGCAUUUCCCAGCUUUAUGCAAAUCACCAGUGGCAAACACUGGGCAAUGACCUAUCAUAUCGAGUGGUUCCCAUGACGAAUUUGACGCUAUGCAAGCCAACGCUGGAGACUUUCUUCAGUAAAGAUGGCUGACAAAAGUACUAGCAUGGAAGCAAAUGGUCUCCUGAGAAAACCAGCAAACCAGGCUGUCGUCUUGUGAAACAGUGGAUGCAAAGAAUCUAGCUAGUUAAAGCAUUUACUGCUAAUUGAAUAUACAAUUUUGUAAGCUUGCCUUGCUAAUAUUUGCCAUGCAAUGCAGCUGAAGUAAUGUAGCUAGCUAACUUUUUUCUUGCUUAUUGUGUAGUGGAGUAUAAAAAUACCUGUAUACUUAUGGAUGUGUAGCUAUCUACUUAGCCAAUCUGUGUAUGGACCUUAAAACGUUUGGUAUAAAUAUUAGCUCAGAACCUAGCUUCGAACCUCAGCUAUCAUAGACAGUUUUAUCGACUUCAAAACAGUCUGACUGGCAUCAAUAAAGCCUAUGAAUUGAGUAUUAUAUAACUUUAUUGUGCCAAGGAUGCAAGUCGUACAUACAUGUAGUUAUUACCAAGCACGAGUUCCCCCACAUUGUAGCCUGUCAUUGAAUAUAUUCACUGAUCAUGUACUGUGCCUUGGCAAAUAAAGGUGCAGUUCAAUAAUGAA